rnacentral:rRNA from 1 species
CCUACGGGUGGCAGCAGUGAGGAAUAUUGGUCAAUGGACGAGAGUCUGAACCAGCCAAGUCGCGUGAAGGAUGACUGCCCUAUGGGUUGUAAACUUCUUUUAUAUGGGAAUAAAAUGUUCCACGUGUGGGAUUUUGUAUGUACCUUAUGAAUAAGGAUCGGCUAACUCCGUGCCAGCAGCCGCGGUAAUACGGAGGAUCCGAGCGUUAUCCGGAUUUAUUGGGUUUAAAGGGAGCGUAGUUGGAAUGUUAAGUCAGUUGUGAAAGUUUGCGGCUCAACCGUAAAAUUGCAGUUGAAACUGGCGGUCUUGAGUGCGGUAGAGGUGGGCGGAAUGCGUGGUGUAGCGGUGAAAUGCAUAGAUAUCACGAAGAACUCCGAUUGCGAAGGCAGCUCACUGGACUGCAACUGACGCUGAGGCACGAAAGUGUGGGUAUCGAACAGGAUUAGAUACCCCUGUAGUC